rnacentral:lncRNA from 1 species
UCACUUUAAGGAAUAAGCUGGUAAAAAGACAAUAAGGUGCCCGAACUGGGGUAAGAACAAAGGCCCUGGCAAAAGCGGUAUUUGCUCAUGAGGCCUGUUCCUCUCUUCCAAGGAGUCACAGCCAGCCCCGAGUCGCUUACUUUUUCUCCCUUGACCUUCACGUUGCCAAGGGAUCAUCUCAACAGAGCCCUGCUCUUUAAGUGGCAACAUAAGCAAAACUGGAUUUAGGCUUUCGUUCUAUUCUGUUUUAUGAAAACCAGAUUUUUCCAAAUCCAGUCCUUCACAACUCUCUGAAUUAAGCAGACGACAGUUCCUCUUGCACUGUGCACUCCCGAAUCCUAGUACAGAACGCAACUGAGAUCCUUCAAGGGUGAGUGUCAGCGUAAGACGGUCCCGUCCCUCUGCUGCAGCCUCAGGGCCAUCGUGGCCGCCGGUGAAAGGGAGACCUGCUUCCCACACCGUCCAACAUCCCCUCUCAUAUCUCGGCAAGGUCUCCAGGCCGAACGAUGUCAACGUGUGAGCAUUUUAAGUAAGGCACGCCUACAUCUCGAUGGCCAGAAACGAGUACUCACAGGGACCCUUUCAAAGCUCUCAUCCGCACUACCGCUCCCAACGCCACAUCUCAAACUAACUUCAUACCCUUGUGUAUAAAAUAAAACCCUGGAAGCCCCUCCUAAACUGGUGACCUUGUGGAUUUUGUUUUAUUGUAGUUUGUGGAAAAUGGCUCGGUGUGUGUUCAUCCUUCUGGUAAAUAGGAGGUUGGCUGGCAAGAAGCAGAAACACCUCUCCUCACACGCCACUAGGUCCCAGGCAGGCUAGAGGAACUGCCGCUUCACCUGGAGCUCUGUACUCCCCACAUCUGUUGAAUCUUUGGCUUUGUCACCGCAGCGCAAAGCAGGCAGUCCUGGAACUCCUCCCACUUGCUGGUGACCAGGGCCUGGGCUUGAGGCAGAGGUGCAUGGGGGGAGGGUAACACUCAAAGCACUGGCGCACCUGCUGCAUGGAUGCCCGGCUGUCCUCAGAACAGUGGGCACUGCACCGGAACAUGAAGCCCUGCAUCUUCUGGAGGUUCUCUCUCUCCAGAUUCUUCACCAUGGAGUCCACUGCCCCCUGCACCCAGAGCUACUGCAGCUCCGCCGUGGCGACCCCCAGCUGCUCCCUGCAGUGCGGGUGGUGCCCACAUAGACUCGCGAGUACCGUGUAGCUUUACUUCGUGACCCAGUUACAGCAGAGCCCUUUGUGUGACACCCUCUUCCAGGAGGGGAAGGAGCGACAGGGCAGCUUGCUCAGCACUGUAAACACCUGGCAACCACCACGGAUGCAAAGGACUCUGCACAAGUCCGAUAUGGUAGCCACUGGUCAUGUGACUAUUCAAAUGACUUAAAUGAAAUACACGUUAAAAUCCAGUUCCCUAGCCCUGUUUCAAGUGUGCCCACCAACGUGGACGGCACAACUACGGCACAUUUCCGUCACCCCCAGAAGUUCAACUGGAGGGUGCAACCUGAGCUCAGCCCUCUAAACUCCUCCUUCCAUGAAUCCAUUCACCUCGGUCCCUGCAUCUUUGUCACUUGUUCCUAAAGAGCCCCUGAAUGGCGUCCCCCCUCAAAUUCACAUCCAACCCAACCAGAACCUUAUUUGGGAAGAAGACCUUUACGGACGUAACCGGUUCAGAUGAAGUCAUCCUGGAUUAGAGCAGGUCCCAAAUCCAGUAAGACUCCUUUAAGAGAAAAGACACAGAGACCCGCACAGGGACAGGGCCAGGUAAGGACAGAGGCAGCAACUGGAGUGACGUAUCUACAAGACGAGGAAGGCCAAGCGCUGCCAGCCGUCACCAGAAGCCAGGAGGAGCUUAGACCAGAAGCUGACACCUUGACCUUAGACUUCUGGCCUCCAGAACUGUGAGAGGGCAUACCUCUGUGCUUUGAGCCACCUAGUCUGCAGUUAGUUGUCCCAGCAGCCACCGGAGACUAACACAGCGCCCUAUGUAGAGACCUCCACAUUCUCAUCUAACCCUCUCCCUCUUUCCCAGACAUCUCAGACCAUCCGAUCCUCAGGUAUCAACCUCCAGACACGACAUCCGCGGAGCCAGUCAGAUCCUCAGCCACUCCAGCCUGCCAGUCCUGCAUAGGUGGGAACACCUGGCCCUGAAGGGGUGCAAGCUGGCAGGGCUGCCCAGGAAGGAGCUGGGGGACCCCUGCAGAGUCUGCAAAUCCCCCGCUUUCUCUCUUUUCAACACUAAAACAAUAUCAGAAAGCAACAAGCCCCAGGCGAUCCAGUCAGUGGUCAAACAGUGGAGCCUGAUAGCUUACUUUAUUAACUUGCUAAAUCAAAGGGCCGUUAGAGUCUCUGUCCGGUAAUAAAACUCAGGAAGGAGAUGAAUCACCCACCUAUUAGCACGGUGUUGGCACAGCUAAUGGAUGUGGCCUGGCCGGACCCAGGCCGGACCAGAACAAAGCCGGCCUGCAUUCCCACCUACGAACCCUGCCACCUCCUCCACCUGCCCGCCUGCGGCCACCUGCCUGUGGAUGAGGGCUGCGGCAGCAUCUGUUCACCAUGGCUUGCUUUUUCAACACACCCAGAAUUAUCCCACCCAACCCACUCCUCCAGGAUCCCGCCACGACCCCAAACAAACACAAAGAAACCAAACAUCCAGAAAUCCAGGGUUUAUUGAAUCCAUCCUUCAAGGAAGCAGCCAGCACGGGGUUGUUACAACGCACUGCAGACAGGUGCAAAGCCCCCAGAGCCUAAGGCUGGGCGGCAUCACCCUCUGACUACACAGAGCCAGGAAAUAGCCUAUUUUCUGCCCUUCGCCCCACUUUCUUGGGGCUGUUCCUCAGAGCACUUUUUCCUGCAGCUUUAAAAGGGGGAGAAAGGCACUGCUGUGAAAAUUCAGCCUCAACCGCCGUUUUCCUGCAUGCAGCUUACUCGGAACAGCUGGUCUAAUGCGCUGAACCUCAGUUCUGGGAACCUCCUUCUGGGAAUGUCUAGGAAGGUAAGUAUCUAAAGUGCUUAAGGGUUUGCUCUACCACAAAUGCUCGCUCCAUUAAUGCUGCUUGUUAAUGAUUUUGAUGAAUAAUGGGCCUGGAAUACAGUAAGUCCUCGGCAAAAAUAAUAAUACUGUUAUUAUUUCUGAAGUAACAUCUAGCAACACCAGGCUCCAAGUGCCAUAAAAACUCAUUAUAAAUAGCUCAUUAUAAGACUCACCUCGACAACCAUCCAAAUUACAUCCCUCAGCCCUUUCCAAGGAAAUCCAGAAAAGACUGGGCCUGAAUCCCCCACUCAGGUUAAAAGCAGGACCCACAAAGCUCCCCGGAGUCGCACAAAGCCAGGUUUGGCGGAUGGCUCCCCGCUGACCCAUGACUGGCCUCCCGUAAAGGCUUCUUGAUUUAUUACUGCAGCAGGACUGAACUCUUCAGCCAGGAGCUUGGCUCCAUUACGCUCCAUUACUCUGGGCCUCGUUUGCAGGCAGCCCCUGGGGCUUGAUUCAUCCACUUCCGUCAGGAGGUCUUGGUGGAAAGAGCUCCCCGUGCCUCUGCGAUACCGUAAUCCUCCAUUCCCAAAGCUCAGGCCCACCGAGAACCCUCAAGAAGGAACCCAGCACGAGUUCAUUCUCCUUCCCGGGAGAAGAGAGAGCAGAAGGAGGGAGAAAAAGCGGCGUGUGCAUUCUUGACCUCUCCCGAGAGGGCGACGCUCCUUUGCCUUUGCUUCCGAGGGCUGCUCACGGGACGAGAUCUGAGCCCCCGCCCUCUUGCCAGAGUGCGAGGAAGACACUGAAGCCCGCAGGCUCCUCUUCGCUUGCGAUCUGCCCUUGGUGUGUUGACCCGGGGUGGCCUCUGCUCCGAUCUGCGUCGCUUUCCAGAGGGAGGCUUCGGUGUGAGAAAGUUAAGAGGCUUUUCUUAUACACUAGAAAGCAACUCACCCUGGCAAUUGUUGCUAUGAGGACAGAAAGGGAGGCGCAGGCAUUUAGCUGCCAGGUCCAUCCUCCAACCUCCCUUGCAAAGCACCUCUGCUUCCUCCCGGAGCAAAGAGCUGAUGAAACACUCAGAGUGGGCACACGCGGUACCCAGCAAAUCCCAAAUUUCAUGGCAUAUGUGCCUUUCCAGAUGACUGCAUGGAUACGCUCCAUAACACACUGUUAAAGUGAUAAUUAGUGAUAGACUUGUUAUGAAUAUUCCAAAUAAAAUUCCUCUCUCAACAGUCGACGGAGACAAAGGGCAUCACAGGAACGGUCAGAAGUAAGGGGGGAAUUUUUGUCUCUGCUCUUAAAAGCCAUGGGGAAGAGACGACAAAUCAGAAGUUCAACAAACCAAACAUCUCAGACCCCAUCGUUCAUGGAAGGCACGUGAAUGGGUCCAUGUCUCCCCAAGGCUGAGCGAGCGCCGUGCUCCCACUUAAAAUAAAAAGCUCCAGGAAAGGAAGAGAACCCCAGUUUUGGAAGCCACUCCUCUGUUGCCCUGCUGCCCUAAACGCAGCCAAGGAUGCUAAACAAGAUGUGUCAUUUAAGGCAACCAACCAACCAACCAAACAGAGGAAGCGCUGAGGCAUAAGCAAGAGAGUAACGAAAAGCAAAGGCGAUUCAGCCUCGUAAAGUGAAAGAGGAAAGGCUUCGAUUCGGGUUGAACCUUCUUCCCCCCAAAGGAAACGGCUGCCGGCUCUAGCUCUGCCCCCACAGCCUCUCACACACGGUCCCACUGUGAAAUUCAUAGUGAUUUUGCCACACGGGACAAUGGGAUGCCCAUGACACACUCCGUCCCCUCCCCACGUCCUCAUCGCCAGAGCGGAGGGAAGACGCCAGGCAUCCCAGAUGAUGAGAGUGAGACGGGCAGGGACUCUCUGGGGCCAAAGAGAAAAAAAGAGGAGCCCCAGACCCCACCAGGGUCACGCUCCCUGCAGACUGAAGGACCCGCGCAGCACAGCGCAGGGGGGAAGCCGACGCCUCGAGGGCGCAGAGGAACCGAGGAGACGAACGCCAUCAGCGGUGUGGCCUCUGUUAUCACCGGGGAUUCUGGACGGACUCGGAUGGAAUGUUCCAUUUUAAGGGUGAAGCCGAGCUCUUCGAGUCUAGGCGUGAAAACCGGCGGCGGCACAUAUUAGCCUGUGCCCAGAGUCCUCUGCUGGCAGAAGUCCCAGGGCCUCCCCUGCCGUCUCACUAGACAUCACUCCACGCCACUUCCCAUCUUACUGGCUUCAGAGUCCGAGAACAGCCCCAAAGCCACCAAAGGACACCCUUUGCAAUUUCUAAACGAGGACACGGAAGACCAGAGAGGUAGAGCCCUGUGCCCAAAAGGCUUGAAAUAUGCGGCAGGAUCUGUUUGGAACCCAAGGACCCCCAAGUCUCGAUCUUGCUUUUUCUAUUGCAGUGAUGCCGCUCCCCUUCUUUCCUUAAAUCAACUUCCAGGCCACAGAAUUAUCUCGGAAGGAGCAAAAUUAACCAUUAGGCGAGAGUUCCCUUGUGGUGCAGCAGGUUAAGGGUCCAGCACUGUCACUGCAGCGGCUUGGGUCGCUGCUGUGGUACAGAUUCGAUCCCUGGCCCAGGGAACGUCUGCAUGCUGCAGGCACCACCAAAAGGGGGCGGGGGUAAAAAAAAUCAUUAGGGGUAAAAUUUAGAGAAAGGAAAAAGUAACAUCUAGUAUAGAACGAUCUCGGCACCAUAGACAGAACCCAGCGCCUAAGCCUGGGUUCUUCGGGAUCCCAGGGGGCCAGCAUCAGUGCAGAGGGCACCAGGGGCAGCCUGGGGGUGGCUGCCGCUGGCCCUCCAGGACUCACACUUGUGCCUCAGGGCCUUUGCACCACCGACAGGGGCUCCUUCCCUGGACAUCCACGGGCUUGCUCUCUUGCCUCCUUCCAGUCUAUACUCACGCGUCCCUUCCAAACCCGCCCUGACGGCUCGCUGUAAAAUUGUUUCCUGAGUCUCCCAUCUUCUGAACCCGACUUAAUUCUUUCCGCAGCACUCAUCACAUUCUAACCGACUGUGUGAUUAUGUAGUUUUUAUGCUUGGUAUCUGCCACCUUCCAUUUUUAAUGAAUAUGCAUGAGGACAGGGAAUUUUGUCCUCUGGCUCACUCCUGAUUCUCCUGGGUCUCAACAGUAUCUGGCAUGUAAUAGAUGCUCAAUAAAAACUGGUUGAACCAAUGUAUAAAUAAGGAAUAACUGCUCUUCCUCUUUGCUUCUUGUCCCCUCCCUUUCUCCUUCAGCAACAACACCUAGACACACACACACACACACACACUCGCACACUCCAUUCCGCUGCUUUCUCUCUUCUCCGUCUGUACUGCAGGCCUGAACUAAUAUCUACAGGACAGUUCCGACCAAACCUAGCAUAUUUAGUGAUGGCAUUACCAAGACUUCUACGGGAAAUUCAUAUUUUAUAUGUGCAUAUGGUUUAUAUGCAUGAUAAAGCUCUAGAAGGACACGCAAGAACCUGAUUCUCCUGGGUCCCUCCCGGGGACUCGAUGGCUGGGAUACAGACUUUUCAUUCUCUGUGCCUUUUUACUCUUGGAAUUUUGAACUAUGUGAAUGUAAUUAACUAUUAAACAUGUUAAAUUAAAAAUUAAAAUGGGAAAGAACUUAAAAAAAAACCUCAUAUAGGCCUCCCCUUAACCCCAUCUUCACAGAAAUUCUUUCUGGAUGAAACCCACCCAAAGGCCACCAGCCCUGGGUUAGGACGGUGAGACGGGGUGAGAGGGGUCCCCUCCUCUCGUUCCUGUAGUUUCUCAAGUGAGGCUGCUACUUCCAUAACGAAAUAUUUGAAAAGGUUUCCAUCAACAGAAGGCUAUGAAUUAAUGCAAAUUUCCCGACAUACAUAACACAUGGAGACGCUGUUUCAAUUCAUGAAUCCCUUCACCUUUAAUUCUGCUUCUGCUCAUUUGGAUUCACACGGAGCAGACUUCGGAAUCAGCCGUCUAGGACGGUGCCAGCAUCUCCGGAGGUGCGGGUGCAGGACGCAGCGCCUUCGAGGAGGCUGCACCCCGUGAGGGAUCACAAGCCCUCGAAGCCUCAAAGGACACACUUGAAAAUGACAACUGCCGUGAACCGGCCCACGAGUGGACGGCGUGGGAUUUUCCUGUUUUUCCUUUGGGGAUUUCCGAUUGUUGCACUUUUUUUGCCUCGAGAUAUAGAACUGAAGGGACAUCCUUCCCCGGUACCGUGCUGUGGAGUAACUGUGUGUGACUCGUCGUUGACCUGCUCUAGGCUGUGAUCUUCCCGAGGAUGGAGGCCGGGUUUAAUCCUCCUCUGCCCUCGUAGCCUCCAGCGUGGCACCUGGCAACAGUGGCUGCUCCCCAAGUAGGUCCUGCGUGAAUGAAUGAACGGUGGCCAUCUCUCAGCCUUCAGGGAGGAGUCCGGAGAUACACCCCGCACCGAACCCAGAGAGACAACGCCGAUCCCUCACUCGCCACCUGCUUACUUUAGCCUUCAUCGGUGGGUGUGCUAUGGUCUGCGGAAGGCAAAGGAAGCCAGAGCUCCCAAGUGGGGAUGUGCGGUGGCAUCUAAGAAAGGGCACCUGCCACCUUCCAGCAGCCGCUUGGUGCACGAUGGGUACCGGGCAGUUAAUGCUGGUGAGACAGGGUGAGAGAGGUCCUCUCCUCUUGUUCCCAUGUUUUCCUAAGUGAGAUGGUUACUUUUAUAAGGAAAUAUUUGAAAAAGUUCCCAUCAACAGAAGUUAACGCUGGCUCCACAGGUGGAGUUCUUUCCAAAGUUCCUUCCUUUGACCUCCUCUGGGCACGUACAGCAAGGAAACAACUGAGUAGGUUAAACCAGAAGCAUCGCGUCCCCUGACGCUGCUUACGGUAGGGAAAAGCUGGAAACAACCUAAGCAUGGCACCCUAUGAGAUUAAGGAACUAAACAGCGGUAUCAGCUCUGUAGCGGGGGAUUCUUACAUUGCAGUCGCUGCAGACGCAUAGAACUCACAGCCCCCCCAAAACGGGGUGCAUGUGCAUUCCAGGAGCUGGAUCUGCUUAGCUUCAGUUCCAACACCAAAUGACUUAGCAGCCUCAGCUUUUGUAAAUGACCUUACGUUUUUGCCUCAGUUUUUUCUUCUAUAAUUAGAGGCAUCACUUAAUCAUUAAAAAAAAAAGUUCGCUG